CAAUAGCGUAUAUUAAAGUUGUUGCGGUUAAAAAGCUCGUAGUUGGAGUUCUGCCAGGUGCCGCCUGUCCGCCCCAGUGGUGAGUACGUGGCGCGCAUUUGGCCCUUUCAAGGGGAGCGUAUCUGCACUUUAUUGUGUGGUGCGGGAUCCUUGACUUUUACUUUGAGGAAAUAGGAGUGUUCCAAGCAGGCUCUCGUCGUGCACAGCUCAGCAUGGAAUAAUAGCAUUGGACCUCGAUUCUAAGCUGUUGGUUGCCAGAAGCGAGGUAAUGAUGAAGAGGGAUAGUUGGGGGCAUUCGUAUUUAACUGGCAGAGGUGAAAUUCUUGGAUUUGUUAAAGACGGACUACUGCGAAAGCAUCUGCCAUGGAUGUUUUCAUUGA
rnacentral:rRNA from 1 species